rnacentral:rRNA from 1 species
AAUGAACGCUGGCGGCAUGGAUUAGGCAUGCAAGUCGAACGGUGAGGCCCCGCAAGGGGCCGAUCAGUGGCGUAAGGGUGAGGAACACGUGAGCAACCUGCCCCUGAAUUCGGGAUAGGCCUGGGAAACCGGGAUUAAUACCGAAUGUGGUUCCCCGUCGCAUGGCGGGGGCACUAAAGAUUUAUUGUUCAGGGAGGGGCUCGCGUCCGAUUAGCUUGUUGGUGAGGUAACGGCCCACCAAGGCUGUGACAGGUAGCUGGUCUGAGAGGAUGGUCAGCCACACUGGGACUGAGACACUGCCCAGACUCCUACGGGAGGCUG